UGGCGAUGCGGGAUGAAC
rnacentral:snRNA from 1 species